GCUAAUGUGGCUCAACGGUAGAGCAGCGGUAUCGUAAACCGCAGGUUAAGGGUUCGAUUCCCUUCAUUAGCUCCA
rnacentral:tRNA from 1 species